rnacentral:rRNA from 1 species
AUUGAACGCUGGCGGCAGGCCUAACACAUGCAAGUCGAACGAGUGGCGGACGGGUGAGUGAUGUCUGGGAAACUGACUGAUGGAGGGGGAUAACUAAUGGAAACGGUAGCUAAUACCGCAUACCAUCGAAUGUGCCCAGAUGGGAUUAUCUAGUAGGUGGGGUAAAGGCUCACCUAGGCGACGAUCCCUAGCUGGGUUGAGAGGAUGCCCUGCCACACUGGGACUGAGACACGGUCCUGACUCCUACGGGAGGAAGCAGUGGGGGAUAUGGCACAAUGGGCGCAAGCCUGAUUCAGCCAUGCCGCGUGUAUGAAGAAGGCCUUCGGGUUGUAAAGUACUUUCAGCGGGGAGGCGUUACCCGCAGAAGAAGCACCGGCUAACUCCGUGCCAGCAGCCGCGGUAAUUC